rnacentral:rRNA from 1 species
AUUGAACGCUGGCGGCAUGCUUUACACAUGCAAGUCGAACGGCAGCGGGGGCUUCGGCCUGCCGGCGAGUGGCGAACGGGUGAGUAAUGCAUCGGAACGUGCCCAGUCAUGGGGGAUAACUACGCGAAAGCGUAGCUAAUACCGCAUACGCCCUGAGGGGGAAAGUGGGGGAUCUUCGGACCUCACGUGAUUGGAGCGGCCGAUGUCAGAUUAGCUAGUUGGUGAGGUAAAGGCUCACCAAGGCGACGAUCUGUAGCGGGUCUGAGAGGAUGAUCCGCCACACUGGGACUGAGACACGGCCCAGACUCCUACGGGAGGCAGCAGUGGGGAAUUUUGGACAAUGGGCGCAAGCCUGAUCCAGCCAUGCCGCGUGAGUGAAGAAGG